AUUGCUUUCUACAACUCCCUGAAAGGAGGUUGUGGUGAGGUGGGGGUCUGCUCCCAGGAAACAGUCACAGGGAAGCAGGACACAAAGUGAUGCUCCUGUUUCCUUUGUGACAUCUGUGGGUCCAGCCCUGCCCUCCUCUCACCAGGGACCUCUGCAGGAGCUAAGGCUGUGCUGUCUGUGCCACUGAUGGAUCAGCACAAAUCAGCUCCAGCAAGGACACGAUCCCCUCCCAUUAUAAAUGACAGAAGUGCUAAUUGCCGCUUUGUAAAUCCACGGAAGAUGCAGUCAUGAAUAUGUGCUGCUGGAAGGAGCAGGCAGCAGGGUCACUGCAGCCUCACACAAGUGAUAUGAACAAUGUUUGGUAAUGCUU